AGUUAUUUAGCUAAGAAAGUAUGUAUUUUGAAAAUAUAAGAUAAGAUUAAGUCUUAAUAACUU
rnacentral:tRNA from 1 species